rnacentral:rRNA from 1 species
AUUGAACGCUGGCGGCAUGCCUUACACAUGCAAGUCGAACGGCAGCACGGGUGCUUGCACCUGGUGGCGAGUGGCGAACGGGUGAGUAAUACAUCGGAACAUGUCCUGUAGUGGGGGAUAGCCCGGCGAAAGCCGGAUUAAUACCGCAUACGAUCUACGGAUGAAAGCGGGGGACCUUCGGGCCUCGCGCUAUAGGGUUGGCCGAUGGCUGAUUUGCUAGUUGGUGGGGUAAAGGCCUACCAAGGCGACGAUCAGUAGCUGGUCUGAGAGGACGACCAGCCACACUGGGACUGAGACACGGACCAGACUCCUACGGGAGGCAGCAGUGGGGAAUUUUGGACAAUGGGCGAAAGCCUGAUCCAGCAAUGCCGCGUGUGUGAAGAAGGCCUUCGGGUUGUAAAGCACUUUUGUCCGGAAAGAAAUCCUUGGCCCUAAUACGGUCGGGGGAUGACGGUACCGGAAGAAUAAGCACCGGCUAACUACGUG